GACGAACGCUGGCGGCGUGCUUAACACAUGCAAGUCGAACGCUGAAGACCUGGCUUUUGUUGGGUUGGAUGAGUGGCGAACGGGUGAGUAACACGUGAGUAACCUGCCCUCUUCUUUGGGAUAACGCCCGGAAACGGGUGCUAAUACUGGAUAUUCACUGAUCUUCGCAUGGGGGUUGGUGGAAAGGUUUGUUCUGGUGGGGGAUGGGCACGCGGCCUAUCAGCUUGUUGGUGGGGUGAUGGCCUACCAAGGCUUUGACGGGUAGCCGGCCUGAGAGGGUGACCGGUCACAUUGGGACUGAGAUACGGCCCAGACUCCUACGGGAGGCAGCAGUGGGGAAUAUUGCACAAUGGGCGAAAGCCUGAUGCAGCGACGCCGCGUGAGGGAUGGAGGCCUUCGGGUUGUAAACCUCUUUCGCUCAUGGUCAAGCCGCAACUGUGGGUUGUGGUGAGGGUAGUGGGUAAAGAAGCGCCGGCUAACUACGUG
rnacentral:rRNA from 1 species